GGUUAAGCGACUAAGCGUACACGGUGGGUGCCCUGGCAGUCAGAGGCGAUGAAGGGCGUGCUAAUCUGCGAUAAGCGCCGGUAAGGUGAUAUGAACCGUUAUAACCGGCGAUACCCGAAUGGGGAAACCCAGUGUGAUUCGUCACACUAUCAUUA
rnacentral:rRNA from 1 species